rnacentral:lncRNA from 10 species
CUGAAUCUAUAGCUCCAGAGAAAAUAGAGAAAGCGGUUUCCAUUUCUUACACUCUUGGCUCCUGCAGGCUUCCAUCAUUGCCGCUGCUGCUGUCACCACUACUACCACUGCAGGGUUGCCUAGAAGCCGAUGAUCACUGUAAAGUUCCCCAAUGAAUUAAGUUUGGGCCAGGAGAUACUAAAGGAUACAAAAAUGGCAGACUCACUGCUGUUCUGGAGGUCUGUGCUAAACACACAUGGAAGAAUCUAUGCCAGGUACUCUGCCACCAUGGCAAAGCAUCCGAACAUGAAGAAGAUGGGUUUGAAUACCUGAAGAAUGUUGGGAGCUAAGUCAGUAUUGGUCCACAUCUGAAGACUGACAAAUCAUUUCAAGCAAAAAGAAGUAUGUAAUGUAGAAUGACAUCAUAUUUUAUGACUCUUUUAUCAUUAUGCUUUCUCUCAGGGAACUUCUUUAGAAAAACCGUUUCCCCAGAGUAAGUAUAUUUCCAUCAAACAGAACCCACUGAAACAUGAUGAGGACAAAGGCUACACCUCAA